GUAGGUGGCAAGCGUUGUCCGGAAUUAUUGGGCGUAAAGCGCGCGCAGGGCGGUCCUUUAAGUCUGAUGUGGGAAGCCCACGGCUCAACCGUGGAGGGUCAUUGGAAACUGGGGGACUUGAGUACAGAAGAGGAAAGCGGAAUUCCAAGUGUAGCGGUGAAAUGCGUAGAGAUUUGGAGGAACACCAGUGGCGAAGGCGGCUUUCUGGUCUGUAACUGACGCUGAGGCGCGAAAGCGUGGGGAGCAAACAGGAUUAGAUACCCUGGUAGUCCACGCCGUAAACGAUGAGUGCUAAGUGUUAGGGGGUUUCCGCCCCUUAGUGCUGCAGCUAACGCAUUAAGCACUCCGCCUGGGGAGUACGGCCGCAAGGCUG
rnacentral:rRNA from 1 species